CGCAUCUGUGCAUGCAGCAUAUCAAUAAGCGGAGGAAAAGAAACUAUCAAGGAUUCCCUUAGUAACGGCGAGUGAAGCGGGAAGAGCUCAAAUUUGAAAUCUUCAAGGUUUUACCUUGACGAAUUGUAGUUUAAGAAGUGUUUUCUGUUGAAGUUUUGGUAAAAGUUCUUUGGAAUAGGACAUCAUAGAGGGUGAGAAUCCCGUAUUUGACCAUUAUCUUCAGCUGUGUGAUACACUUUCAAAGAGUCGGAUUGUUUGGGAAUGCAGUCCAAAAUGGGUGGUAAAUUUCAUCUAAAGCUAAAUAUUGGCGAGAGACCGAUAGCGAACAAGUACCGUGAGGGAAAGAUGAAAAGAACUUUGAAAAGAGAGUUAAACAGUACGUGAAAUUGUCAAAAGGGAAGCGUUUGACACCAGUGUUGUUUUCUCGAAAAUCAAUUAAAAAGAGUUUAGAUUUUGUUGUGUAUUGACCUUAACAGCUUGCAUUUCAAUUUUCUUGCUUUUUUUAAUGCACUUUUCGUUUAACAAGUCAACAUCAGUUUCUUUUGUUGUAAAAAGGUCAUUGGAAGGUGGCUUUCUUUUCGGAGAAAGUGUUUAUAGCCUUUGACUCCUGCAAUCGGAGAGACUGAGGUCUGCAGCGUAGAUCCUUCGGGGUUAGAUACAUUUGUGCUAAGUUAUAGCUUUUUAUAGACAACUUGUUGACUAUGAUUAGUCUUGUAGCUUACUCGCUUAUGCUAUUUUACCUACGCUUAGGAUGUUGACACACGCGCGUGCUCG
rnacentral:rRNA from 1 species